rnacentral:rRNA from 1 species
AUUGAACGCUGGCGGCAGGCCUAACACAUGCAAGUCGAACGAGUGGCGGACGGGUGAGUAAUGUCUGGGAACCUGCCUGAUGGAGGGGGAUAACUACUGGAAACGGUAGCUAAUACCGCAUACCAUCAGAUGUGCCCAGAUGGGAUUAGCUAGUAGGUGGGGUAACGGCUCACCUAGGCGACGAUCCCUAGCUGGUCUGAGAGGAUGACCAGCCACACUGGAACUGAGACACGGUCCAGACUCCUACGGGAGGCAGCAGUGGGGAAUAUGGCACAAUGGGCGCAAGCCUGAUGCAGCCAUGCCGCGUGUAUGAAGAAGGCCUUCGGGUUGUAAAGUACUUUCAGCGGGGAGGCGUUACCCGCAGAAGAAGCACCGGCUAACUCCGUGCCAGCAGCCGCGGUAAUAC